CGGAGUCGUUUAUCGUUUAUUUGAUAGUACCUUACUACUUGGAUAACCGUGGUAAUUCUAGAGCUAAUACAUGCUGAAAACCCCGACUUCGGGAGGGGUGUAUUUAUUAGAUAAAAAACCAACGCCCUUCGGGGCUCCUUGGUGAUUCAUAAUAACUUAACGAAUCGCAUGGCCUUGCGCCGGCGAUGGUUCAUUCAAAUUUCUGCCCUAUCAACUUUCGAUGGUAGGAUAGUGGCCUACCAUGGUAUCAACGGGUAACGGGGAAUUAGGGUUCGAUUCCGGAAAGGGAGCCUGAGAAACGGCUACCACAUCCAAGGAAGGCAGCAGGCGCGCAAAUUACCCAAUCCCGACACGGGGAGGUAGUGACAAUAAAUACUGAUACAGGGCUCUUUUGGGUCUUGUAAUUGGAAUGAGUACAAUUUAAAUCCCUUAACGAGGAACAAUUGGAGGGCAAGUCUGGUGCCAGCAGCCGCGGUAAUUCCAGCUCCAAUAGCGUAUAUUAAAGUUGUUGCAGUUAAAAAGCUCGUAGUUGAACCUUGGGCCUGGCCGGCCGGUCCGCCUCACCGCGUGCACUGGUUCGGCCGGGCCUUUCCUUCUGGGGAGCCGCAUGCCCUUCACUGGGUGUGCCGGGGAACCAGGACUUUUACUUUGAAAAAAUUAGAGUGUUCAAAGCAGGCCUUUGCUCGGAUACAUUAGCAUGGAAUAAUAGAAUAGGACGUGCGGUUCUAUUUUGUUGGUUUCUAGGACCGCCG
rnacentral:rRNA from 1 species